GAUGAACGCUAGCGACAGGCCUAAUACAUGCAAGUCGAGGGGCAGCACAUGCGUAGCAAUACAAUGGUGGCGACCGGCGCACGGGUGAGUAACACGUAUGCAACCUACCUGUAAGCGGGGAAUAACCCGGAGAAAUUCGGACUAACACCGCAUAAUACCGAUUAACUGCAUGGUUGAUCGGUUAAAUAUUUAUAGCUUACAGAUGGGCAUGCGUAACAUUAGAUAGUUGGUGAGGUAACGGCUCACCAAGUCAACGAUGUUUAGGGGUUCUGAGAGGAAGGUCCCCCACACUGGUACUGAAACACGGAACAGACUCCUACGGGAGGAAGCAGUGGGGAAUAUUGGUCAAUGGGCGAGAGCCUGAACCAGCCAAGUCGCGUGAAGGAAGAAGGUUCUAUGGAUUGUAAACUUCUUUUGUAAGGGAAUAAAAAAGCUUACGUGUAGGCUAUUGUAUGUACUUUACGAAUAAGGAUCGGCUAACUCCGUGCCAGCAGCCGCGGUAA
rnacentral:rRNA from 1 species